AGCGGCGGACGGGUGAGUAACGCGUGGGUGACCUGCCCCAUACCGGGGGAUAACAGCUGGAAACGGCUGCUAAUACCGCAUAAGCGCACAGAGCUGCAUGGCUCGGUGUGAAAAACUCCGGUGGUAUAAGAUGGACCCGCGUUGGAUUAGCUAGUUGGCAGGGCAGCGGCCUACCAAGGCGACGAUCCAUAGCCGGCCUGAGAGGGUGAACGGCCACAUUGGGACUGAGACACGGCCCAGACUCCUACGGGAGGCAGCAGUGGGGAAUAUUGCACAAUGGGGGAAACCCUGAUGCAGCGACGCCGCGUGAAGGAAGAAGUAUCUCGGUAUGUAAACUUCUAUCAGCAGGGAAGAUAAUGACGGUACCUGACUAAGAAGCCCCGGCUAACUACGUGCCAGCAGCCGCGGUAAUACGUAGGGGGCAAGCGUUAUCCGGAUUUACUGGGUGUAAAGGGAGCGUAGACGGCGCAGCAAGUCUGAUGUGAAAGGCAGGGGCUUAACCCCUGGACUGCAUUGGAAACUGCUGUGCUUGAGUGCCGGAGGGGUAAGCGGAAUUCCUAGUGUAGCGGUGAAAUGCGUAGAUAUUAGGAGGAACACCAGUGGCGA
rnacentral:rRNA from 1 species